AUUGAACGCUGGCGGCAUGCCUAACACAUGCAAGUCGAACGGAUGAAGUGAGCUUGCUCUUGCUAUACGCUGCGGAGUGGGGUGCGAUGCCUAGGAAUCUGCCUGGUUGUGCGGGAUAACGUCCGGAAACGGGCGCUAAUACCGCAUCCGUCUAGAGGGAGAAAGUGGGUGAUCUUCGGACCUCACGCUAUCAGAUGAGUCUAGGUCGGAUUAGCUAGUUGGUGGGGUAAAUGCCUACCAAGGCGACGAUCCGUAACUGAUCUGAGAGGAUGAUCAGUCACACUGGAACUGAGACACGGUCCAGACUCCUACGGGAGGCAGCAGUGGGGAAUAUUGGACAAUGGGCGAAAGCCUGAUCCAGCAAUGCCGCGUGUGUGAAGAAGGUCUUCGGAUUGUAAAGCACUGUAGGAAGGGAGGAAGGGCAGUAAGUUAAGACAGUGCUCUUUUGACGUUAACAACAGAAUAAGCACCGGGUAACUUCGUG
rnacentral:rRNA from 1 species